rnacentral:rRNA from 1 species
AACGAACGCUGGCGGCAUGCCUAACACAUGCAAGUCGAACGCCUGUAGCAAUACAGGAGUGGCAGACGGGUGCAAAACGCGUGGAAACCUAUCCUUGGGUUCGGAAUAACCGCGGGAAACUGCGGCUAAUACCGGAUACGUCCUUCGGGAGAAAGAUUUAUCGCCCAUUGAGGGGUCCGCGUCUGAUUAGCUAGUUGGUGAGGUAAUGGCUCACCAAGGCGACGAUCAGUAGCUGGUCUGAGAGGAUGAUCAGCCACACUGGAACUGAGACACGGUCCAGACUCCUACGGGAGGCAGCAGUGGGGAAUAUUGGACAAGGGGCGCAAGCCUGAUCCAGCAAUGCCGCGUGGGUGAUGAAGGCCUUCGGGUUGUAAAGCCCUUUUGGCGGGGACGAUGAUGACGGUACCCGCCGAAUAAGCUCCGGCUAACUUCGUGCCAGCAGCCGCCGCCGUAA